CCCUGCUCGUUCGUCCGCAAUCGGACCACUGCCCCCGGAUCAGUCCGCCUGCCUGUCUGCCGGCUCUCCGAGCUCUGCUCCCCCGACUCCAGGGGGUUACCAGACCGAGCACAAACUGUAGCGCCACGGGAUGCCGAGCCUCGUUUCCUCCCUCUUUAAUAAAGUCUUUAAACGUCA